rnacentral:rRNA from 1 species
CAAUAGCGUAUAUUAAAGUUGUUGCAGUUAAAAAGCUCGUAGUUGGACUUCUGAUGUGGAGGGGCGGUCCGCCUCACGGUGAGCACUGAUUCUUCACGUCUUCCUCUCGUAGUCUUUUGGCGCACUUAGUUGGGUGCCUUUAGAAUAUGGGACCUUUACUUUGAAAAAAUUAGAGUGUUCAAAGCAGGCAAUCGCUUGAAUACAUUAGCAUGGACUAAUUUUGUUGGUUUCUAGGACCGAAGUAAUGAUUAAUAGGGGCAGUUGGGGGCAUUAGUAUUUGAUUGUCAGAGGUGAAAUUCUUUGAUUUAUGAAAGACUAACUACUGCGAAAGCAUUUGCCAAGGAUGUUUUCAUUAAUCAAGAGCGAAAGAUAGGGGAUCGAAGACGAUUAGAUACCAU